AUUGAACGCUGGCGGCAGGCUUAACACAUGCAAGUCGAACGAGCGGCGGACGGGUGAGUAAUGUCUGGGAAACUGCCUGAUGGAGGGGGAUAAAUACUGGAAACGGUAGCUAAUACCGCAUACCAUCGGAUGUGCCCAGAUGGGAUUAGCUAGUAGGUGGGGUAAAGGCUCACCUAGGCGACGCGCCCUAGCUGGUCUGAGAGGAUGACCAGCCACACUGGAACUGAUACACGGUCCAGACUCCUACGGGAGGCAGCAGUGGGGAAUAUUGCACAAUGGGCGCAAGCCUGAUGCAGCCAUUCCGCGUGUAUGAAGAAGGCCUUCGGGUUGUAAAGUACUUUCAGCGAGGAGGCGUUACUCGCAGAAGAAGCACCGGCUAACUCCGUGCCAGCAGCCGCGGUAAUUC
rnacentral:rRNA from 1 species